UACGUAGGUGGCGAGCGUUGUCCGGAUUUACUGGGCGUAAAGGGAGCGUAGGCGGACUUUUAAGUGAGAUGUGAAAUACUCGGGCUCAACUUGAGUGCUGCAUUUCAAACUGGAAGUCUAGAGUGCAGGAGAGGAGAAUGGAAUUCCUAGUGUAGCGGUGAAAUGCGUAGAGAUUAGGAAGAACACUAGUGGCGAAGGCGAUUCUCUGGACUGUAACUGACGCUGAGGCUCGAAAGCGUGGGGAGCAAACAGG
rnacentral:rRNA from 1 species